rnacentral:rRNA from 1 species
GACGAACGCUGGCGGCGUGCCUAAUACAUGCAAGUAGGACGAGCUUCGAACGGGUGAGUAACACGUAGGAACCUACCUCUUAGAGGGGGAUAACUAUUGGAAACGAUAGCUAAUACCGCAUACUAGGAGAUGGACCUGCGGUGUAUUAGCUAGUAGGUAGGGUAAAGGCCUACCUAGGCAACGCUAAAUAGCCGACCUGGGAGGAUGGCCAGCCACACUGGAGCUGAGACACGGGCCAGACUCCUACGGGAGGCAGCAGUGGGGAAUAUUGCACAAUGGGAGCAAGCCUGAUGCAGCCAUGCCGCGUGUGGGAAGAAGGCCUUCGGGUUGUAAAGCACUUUCAGCGAGGAGGCGUUACUCGCAGAAGAAGCACCGGCUAACUCCGUGCCAGCAGCCGCGGUAAUAC